rnacentral:rRNA from 1 species
GACAGAGGGUGCAAACGUUGUUCGGAAUUACUGGGCGUAAAGCGAGUGUAGGCGGUCUCGUAAGUCGGGUGUGAAAGCCCUGGGCUCAACCCAGGAAGUGCACUCGAAACUGCGAGGCUAGAGUACUGGAGAGGUUGGUGGAAUUCUCGGUGUAGAGGUGAAAUUCGUAGAUAUUCGCAAGAACACCAGUGGCGAAGGCGGCUGACUGGUCCGGUUCUGACGCUGAGGCGCGAAAGCGUGGGGAGCAAACAGG